GACAGAGGGUGCAAACGUUGCUCGGAAUUACUGGGCGUAAAGCGCGUGUAGGCGGGACGGGUAGUCAGGCGUGAAAUCCCUAGGCUCAACCUAGGAACUGCGUUUGAAACUCCCGGCCUUGAGUAGUGGAGAGGGAAGUGGAAUUCCUGGUGUAGAGGUGAAAUUCGUAGAUAUCAGGAGGAACACCGGUGGCGAAGGCGGCUUCCUGGACACUGACUGACGCUGAGACGCGAAAGCGUGGGGAGCAAACAGG
rnacentral:misc_RNA from 1 species